UGACCUAGCGGCGGACGGGUGAGUAAUACUUAGGAAUCUGCCUAUUAAUGGGGGACAACAUCUCGAAAGGGAUGCUAAUACCGCAUACGCCCUACGGGGGAAAGCAGGGGAUCACUUGUGACCUUGCGUUAAUAGAUGAGCCUAAGUCGGAUUAGCUAGUUGGUGGGGUAAAGGCCUACCAAGGCGACGAUCUGUAGCGGGUCUGAGAGGAUGAUCCGCCACACUGGGACUGAGACACGGCCCAGACUCCUACGGGAGGCAGCAGUGGGGAAUAUUGGACAAUGGGGGGAACCCUGAUCCAGCCAUGCCGCGUGUGUGAAGAAGGCCUUAUGGUUGUAAAGCACUUUAAGCGAGGAGGAGGCUCUUUUGGUUAAUACCCAAGAUGAGUGGACGUUACUCGCAGAAUAAGCACCGGCUAACUCUGUGCCAGCAGCCGCGGUAAUACAGAGGGUGCGAGCGUUAAUCGGAUUUACUGGGCGUAAAGCGUGCGUAGGCGGCUUUUUAAGUCGGAUGUGAAAUCCCCGAGCUUAACUUGGGAAUUGCAUUCGAUACUGGGAAGCUAGAGUAUGGGAGAGGAUGGUAGAAUUCCAGGUGUAGCGGUGAAAUGCGUAGAGAUCUGGAGGAAUACCGAUGGCGAAGGCAGCCAUCUGGCCUAAUACUGACGCUGAGGUACGAAAGCAUGGGGAGCAAACAGGAUUAGAUACCCUGGUAGUCCAUGCCGUAAACGAUGUCUACUAGCCGUUGGGGUCUUUGAGACUUUAGUGGCGCAGCUAACGCGAUAAGUAGACCGCCUGGGGAGUACGGUCGCAAGACUAAAACUCAAAUGAAUUGACGGGGGCCCGCACAAGCGGUGGAGCAUGUGGUUUAAUUCGAUGCACCGCGAAGAACCUUACCUGGUCUUGACAUAGUAAGAACUUUCCA
rnacentral:rRNA from 1 species